UUCAGAACUUGUGUUUUUUAUACCUUGGUCUAGAAAUAGGGCGAUUAAUUCUGGGCUUCCCUUAGCACCCCUGUGGAGGGUACUGUGUCAGCGGUACCUGAUCCCUACUUAUGACUCAGAAGCUAUUGCUCAGGGAGACCCUUUUCCUCCCUCCUGUUUUAGACAAUGACUCAGGAGGAAAGGCUCUGUGGCCACAUCAUUCCCCUACACACACACACCCUGCCUUCCCGAGGGGCACCAUUAUAUUCUUCCUUUAUUAGCUGUCCUUGUAUAAUACAAAUCUGCAAGUUUAGAUACAAAAAAAAUCUGGAAAUAAAAGAUAGAAAAGUAC
rnacentral:lncRNA from 1 species